rnacentral:rRNA from 1 species
UACGUAGGGGGCUAGCGUUGUCCGGAAUCAUUGGGCGUAAAGAGCGUGUAGGCGGUCCGGUAAGUCCGCUGUGAAAGUCGGGGGCUCAACCCUCGAAUGCCGGUGGAUACUGUCGGGCUAGAGUGCGGAAGAGGCGAGUGGAAUUCCUGGUGUAGCGGUGAAAUGCGCAGAUAUCAGGAGGAACACCUAUUGCGAAGGCAGCUCGCUGGGACGUAACUGACGCUGAGACGCGAAAGCGUGGGGAGCAAGCAGG